rnacentral:rRNA from 1 species
UAGGGAAUUUUCCACAAUGGACGAAAGUCUGAUGGAGCAACGCCGCGUGCAGGAUGAAUGUCUUCGGAUUGUAAACUGCUUUUAUAUGUGACGAAUAUGACGGUAGCAUAUGAAUAAGGAUCGGCUAACUCCGUGCCAGCAGCCGCGGUCAUACGGAGGAUCCAAGCGUUAUCCGGAAUUACUGGGCGUAAAGAGUUGCGUAGGUGGCAUUGUAAGUUGGUAGUGAAAGCGUUCGGCUCAACCGGAUAAACAUUACCAAAACUGCAAAGCUAGAGGAUGAGAGAGGUUAUUGGAAUUCCCAGUGUAGGAGUGAAAUCCGUAGAUAUUGGGAGGAACACCGAUGGCGUAGGCAGAUAACUGGCUCAUUCCUGACACUAAGGCACGAAAGCGUGGGGAGCAAACGGG